rnacentral:rRNA from 1 species
GAUGAACGCUGGCGGCAUGCCUAACACAUGCAAGUCGAGCGUACUGACGGGGAGAUUGCGCUUUUCUCGUUGGCGGCGGACGGGCGAGUACCACAUCGAUAACCCACCUGUUAAACUGGGACUACUCCGAGAAACCGGAGCUAAUACUGCAUCAUACUUCCAACCGCUUGGUUCUGUAGUCAUAGACGCUUUUCAUGUGCCAUAUCGUCGGACCAGCGCCGCAUUAGCUAGUUGGUAAGGUAACGGCAUACCAAGGCAACGAUGCGUAGCCGCCCUGAGAGGGGGAUCUGGCACACUGGAAGUGAGACACGGUCCAGACUACUACGGGAGGGAGCAGUAGGGAAUCGUGCGCAAUGGGCUCAAGCCUGACGCAGCAACGCCGCGUGCGUGAGGAAGGUCUUCGGAUCGUAAAACUCUCUUAGCAGGGAAGAACAAAUGUGUACGUAAAUUUCCCCGUCCUGACGGUACCCAGUCAAAAAGCCACGGCUAACUUCGUG